GAUGAACGCUGGCGGCAUGCCUUACACAUGCAAGUCGAACGGCAGCGGACCUUCGGGUGCCGGCGAGUGGCGAACGGGUGAGUAAUGCAUCGGAACGUACCUUUCAGUGGGGGAUAACGUAGCGAAAGUUACGCUAAUACCGCAUAUUCUGUGAGCAGGAAAGCAGGGGAUCGCAAGACCUUGCGCUGAUUGAGCGGCCGAUGUCAGAUUAGCUAGUUGGUGAGGUAAAGGCUCACCAAGGCGACGAUCUGUAGCGGGUCUGAGAGGAUGAUCCGCCACACUGGAACGGAGACACGGUCCAGACUCCUACGGGAGUCAGCAGUGGGGAAUUUUGGACAAUGGGGGCAACCCUGAUCCAGCCAUGCCGCGUGAGUGAAGAAGGCCUUCGGGUUGUAAAGCUCUUUCGGCCGGGAAGAAAUCGCACGGGCUAAUACCCUGUGUGGAUGACGGUACCGGAAUAAGAAGCACCGGCUAACUACGUGCCAGCAGCCGCUGUAACAC
rnacentral:rRNA from 1 species